CCUACGGGGGGCAGCAGUGGGGAAUAUUGGGCAAUGGAGGCAACUCUGAUCCAGCAACGCCGCGUGAAGGAAGAAGGCCUUCGGGUUGUAAACUUAUGUUGUAAAGGAAGAAAAGAAUGACGGUACUUUACAAGAAAGCCCCGGCUAACUAUGUGCCAGCAGCCGCGGUAAGACGUAGGGGGCAAGCGUUGUUCGGAAUUACUGGGGGUAAAGGGAGCGUAGGCGGGAGCUUAAGUUAGGAGUGAAAGCCUUGGGCUCAACCCAAGAACUGCUCUGAAUACUGGGUUUCUGGAGUGGGGGAGAGGUAAGUGGAAUUCCGAGUGUAGCGGGAGAAUGCGUAGAUAGUAGGAGGAACAACAGAGGCGAAGGCGGCUUUCUGGACCAUAACUGACGCUGAGGCUCGAAAGCGUGGGGAGCAAACAGGAUUAGAUACCCUGGUAGUC
rnacentral:rRNA from 1 species